rnacentral:lncRNA from 1 species
GUAGUAGUAGUAGUAGUUGUUGUUGUAGUAGUAGUAGUAGUAGUAGUAGUAGUUGUUGUUGUUGUUAUUGUUGUUUUUGUUGUUGUUGUUGUUGCCCUUGCUGUUGUAGUUGUUGUUGCUGUUGUUGUUGUUGUUGUUGUUGUUGUUGUUGUUGUUGUUGUUGCUGUUGUUGUUCUUCUUCUUGUUGUUGUUGUUGUUGUGGUUGUUGUUGUUGUUGUUGUUGUUGUCGUUGUUGUUUGUUUUGUUGUUGUUGUUGUUGUUGUUGUUG